rnacentral:lncRNA from 1 species
AAGCAACGUCAGGGCCUCCUUGUAGUGCCCGAUGGCUUUCUGGGGGUCUCCCAGGUGGAAGCAGGCGGAUCCCAGCCCCUCGCACGCCUGCCACUGUCCCUGCACGUCCCCUGGGGAGGGAAGGGAAGGGAAGGGCAGCGUCAGAGCUGGCCCAGCUCAUCACAGCCGAGGCCCUGGGGAGGGAGCAUCGCUGAGGCACCACGCUGUGUGGGGCGGUGACACUCCCGAGGGACAGGGUGGCAUCCAGAGGGACAUGGACAGGCUGGAGAGGGGGGACCGUGUCACCCUCAUGGGGUCCCACCAGGCCAAGGGCAGGGUCCUGCCCCUGGGAGGGGGCAGCCCCCGGUCCCAGCCCAGGCUGGGGAUGGAGGGAUGGGGAGCAGCCCCAAGGAAAAGGGUCUGGGGGGGCUUGAAAGGGUGGGGGGGAAAGCUGGCCAUGGGCUGGCACCGUGUGCUGGCAGCCCAGCAAGCCCCCCUGCCCUCUGGGCUGCACCCCCAGGGCGAGGGGGGGGGGAUUCUGCCCCUCUGCUCCGCUCUGGGGAGAACCCCCCCCACCCACCCAGUGCUGCCUCCAGCUCUGGGGCCACCAACAGCAGAAGGACAUGGAGCUGUUGGAGCGGGGCCAGAGGAGGGACAUGGAGAUGCUGGGAGGGCUGGAGCCCCUCUGCUGGGAGGGGGGGCUGAGAGAGUUGGGGGGGUUCAGCCUGGAGAAGAGGAGGCUGCGGGGAGACCUUGGAGCCCCUUCCAGUCCCUCAAGGGGCUCCAGGAGAGAUGGGGGGGACUUAAUGAGGGAGGGGAGCGAUGGGACAAGGGGGAAGGGUUUGAAGCUGAAAGAGGGGAGAUUGGGGGGACAUGGUUUAGUGAUGGUUCUUUUGUCAGAGUUAGGUUGAUGGUUGGACGAGAUGAUCUUGAAGGUCCUUCCAACCCCCUAGAUGGUUCUGUGAUUGAGCUGAGAUGUGGGGCAGAAGUUCUUUGGUGUGAGGGUGGUGAGAGCCUGGCCCAGGUUGCCCUGAGAAGCUGUGGCUGCCCCAUCCCUGGAGGGGUUCAAGGGCAGGUUGGAGGGGGCUUGGAGCAACCUGGGCUGGUGGGAGGUGGCCCUGCCCAGGGCAGGGGGGGACUGGAUGGUCUUUAAGAUCCCUUCCCACCCAAACCAUUCCAUGUUCCUCUGAUGCCCUUUGGAUGCAGCACACGCCUGGCUCAGCUCUGCUCGGCAUCCGGAUGCUGCAGACCCCCCAGCACAGGGACGGUUUGCCUGCGCCCCCCCUUACCCGUGUCCCGGAAGGCUUGCAGGGCGUGCAGGUAGUUCUCCGCGGCUGCCUGGUG